UACGUAGGGUGCAAGCGUUGUCCGGAAUUAUUGGGCGUAAAGAGCUCGUAGGCGGUUCGUCGCGUCUGCUGUGAAAAUCCGGGGCUCAACCCCGGACUUGCAGUGGGUACGGGCAGACUAGAGUGUGGUAGGGGAGACUGGAAUUCCUGGUGUAGCGGUGAAAUGCGCAGAUAUCAGGAGGAACACCGAUGGCGAAGGCAGGUCUCUGGGCCACUACUGACGCUGAGAAGCGAAAGCAUGGGGAGCGAACAGG
rnacentral:rRNA from 1 species